rnacentral:ncRNA from 1 species
AAAUAUUAAAUAUUUUAAAUAAUUAUUUAUAAUUAAUAUAUAAAAUUUUAUAAUUAAUAAAUUUAAUUAAAGUAAAUUUUUAAAAUUAUUGUCAAAAAUUUGUGCCAGCAGUCGCGGUAAAACAAAAAAUAAAAAUAAAUAUUUUAUUAUUAAAAUUUAAUAUUUAUAAAUAUAUAUUUAUAUAUAAUAAUUUUUAAAGUAAAAUUUUAAAUUAUUUAUAAAAUAUGAAAAGUUUAUGAUUUUGAAAAUUUAUAUAAAACUAGGAUUAGAUACCCUAUUAUAAAAUUAAAAAAAAAUUUUAAGUAUUAAAAGUUAUAUACUUAAAACUUAAAGAAUAUGGCAGUAUUUAAAUCAAUUUAGAGGAAUUUGUUUAUUAAUUGAUAAUACACGAUUAAUUUUACUUAAUUUAUGUUUGUAUAUCGUUGUUAAAAAAUUAUUUUUAAUUAAUAAAAUAAUUAGUAUUUAUAUCUAUAAAUUAAAUCAAAUCAAGAUACAAUUAUAAUUAAGAAUAUUAUGAAUUACAAUAAAUUUAUUUAAAUGAAUUAUAUUUUGUAAUAAAUUUAUGAAAUUGGAUUUAAGAGUAAUUUAAUUAAUUUAAAUUAAAUGAUUUUUGUUUUUAUUUAUGUACAUAUUGCCCGUCACUCUUAAUAAUAAAAUUAAAAUAAUUAAAUUAUUUUAUUAUAUAAUUAAUAUUUAUUUAAUUAAUUAUAAAUUAAUUAAGAUAAGUCGUAACAAAGUAGAUGUAUUGGAAAAUGUAUCUAGAUU